GAGAAGUUAGUAAACCUAUUACAUAACCUUGUCAAGGUUAAAUCACAGACUAAAUCCCUGUACAUCUCA
rnacentral:tRNA from 1 species